rnacentral:lncRNA from 1 species
UGUGGAACAGAAGCACACAGUGGGUACUGGGUAAUUCCAUGAAGAAGAGAUCUUCUUGCCACCAAGAGACUCUGUGAUAGCCCGUCUGUGAACUUCAGUCCAGAGAUAGCUGUCUAGACCUGAAACGAAGGACAAGUGUGUGGGUCACAGUCCAGCACUGAAGAACAUCGAGGCAAGAAUCCAAGCAGAUGAAGAGUUGGAGUGAGACGAAGCCUGCUUUCCCAUGCCAUGCACCCAGUCGGCAGCAGAGACCAAGGCAUUUCCAGUGACUGAAUUCAACAGAAUAUUUUCCAAAGCCUACCUUAACCACUCAUGGAGUCAGCUUGUACUUCAAGGAGUGUCUGGGGUAAGGGGCGGUCCCUGCUUCACAGAGUAUAU